rnacentral:RNase_P_RNA from 1 species
UCCCCUGCCAGCACGAGGCGGCGGUGAGGAAAGUCCGAACACCACAGGGCACCGUGCUUCCUAACGGGAAGGCGCCGGCUCCCGUCCGCGGGACCCGGUGACGGCACGUGCAACAGAGAGCAGUCCCGCCCCAACCGGCCCGUGGCCGGUGGGGUCAGGGGUGAAAGGGUGCGGUAAGAGCGCACCGGCGCUCCUGGUGACAGGGGCGGCCCGGCAAACCCCACGGGGUGUAAGGCCAAGCAGCACCGAUCCUCCGGCCUCGCCGGAGGGGAAGGCGGCCCGCCGAUCCAUCGGUGCAGGUAGGCCGCUCGAGACGGUCGGCGACGGCCGUCCCAGAUAGAUGAUGACCUCCCCGCGACCCCGGCUCGGCCCCGGACGCGGGCAGACCAAAUUCGGCUUACAGAUCCG